rnacentral:misc_RNA from 1 species
GCCAAAAGCUCUUUUUCAGGUACUCAUCCAUUAUUGGCUGUUCCUAUAAGCUUAGAGGUAUUAUCACUUUACUCAUUUCUUUCCAGGACUGUUUAACUAGUAGACAUCAGGGUAUACUUUGCCUAGUCCUUAAAGCCAUUUAUUCUGACACUUCUAUUUAUAUUAGUUUUUGAAGCACGUGUGUUGCAUGUGCAUCAUGUGAUUUUUUAUUUUAUUAAUUAUUUUAUUUAUAAUUAUAUUUAU